GCCGGGUGUGGUGAUGCAUGCCUGUAAUCCUAGCUACUCAGGAGGCUGAGGCAGGAGAAUUUCUUGAACCCGGGAGGUGGAGGUUGCAGUGAGCCGAGAUCGCACCACUGCACUCUAGCCUGGGUGACAGAGCGAGAUUCUGUCUCCA
rnacentral:sRNA from 1 species